rnacentral:lncRNA from 1 species
AAGGUGAAGCAGAUGGCAGAGAGCGCCGCUGGUACUGUCAAGCAUACCCUCGGAAUGGGCGGCGGCGACCGCGACCCAGUGGAGGAUGAUAUCCCUUAUGCCGGCGGGGAUAAGACUGCCAAAACCACCACCACUACCCACAGGGAGACCAAGUAUUAGAAGAAGGGUUAAUGCCUAAUGGGAGAAACGAAAUGUCAGUGUAAUAAAAUGUUCUUUUUCUGGGUUUGGCAUGGGGGAUUACGUUGUUCUGGUGGCCGGCGGUGGGUUUUUGAUUCCCCGGCGGUGGAAUUGGAACUGUAAUCGACUUAUGCUGUAGUAAUGGUUGGUUUUUUUAAAUGGUGAAAGUGUUCUGGUGCUAUGAAUAAGUCUGUUACUUUGUAAGAAGGUUGUGUCUAUGGCUACCGAUCAAGUUUGAAAUUCGGCUUGAUACUGAACGAGCAGUUCGAUA